AGCAGCCGCGGUAAUUCCAGCUCCAAUAGCGUAUAUUAAAGUUGUUGCAGUUAAAAAGCUCGUAGUUGAAUUUCGAGAUCAAAUUGUUGGUCGUGCCUUGGUACGCACUGGCAUUAUUGGUUUCUCCCUUCUGAAGAACCAAGAUGUCAUUAAUUUGGUGUCUUGGGGAAUCAGGACUGUUACUUUGAAAAAUUAGAGUGUUUAAAGCAGGCUCGCGCUUGAAUACAUUAGCAUGGAAUAAUGAAAUAGGACGUUUGAUUCUAUUUUGUUGGUUUCUAGGAUCGACGUAAUGAUUAAUAGGGAUAGUUGGGGCAUUAGUAUUCAAUUGUCAGAGGUGAAAUUCUUGGAUUUAUUGAAGACUAACUACUGACGAAAGCAUUUGCCAAGGAUGUUUUCAUUAAUCAAGAACGAAAGUUAGGGAUCGAAGACGAUCA
rnacentral:rRNA from 1 species